UGGACCCCGAGUUCCAUUAUGUGUCCUCUGGUUCGGCUACAGCACAAGGUCUGCAGGCAGCAGUCAGACUCACCAGGCUCUUCUGAAACGUAGGAAAACAUUUCAGAUCUGCACUGUCUAAUAGAACUUGUGACACUGUCGGAAAUGUUCUGUAAUCUGCACUGCUUCAUACGGUCACCACUAGCUACUUGUGGCUACUGAGUUCCCGAAUGUGGCUGGUGCCACGUGGGAUUUGUAUUCAUUUAAAUUUAAAUUCAAGUAACCACAUAAGGUCGGCCACCACUGUGUUGGAUGCACAGCUAUGGAUGACCAACUCCCCAAGUCUUUCUGUCACCUACCCUUUCAGAAACUCCAUCUUUUCUGCAUGGUUUUCUCCUCUUGAUCUGGGC